GUGGCAGACUUGACUUUGUUGCAUUAAGUACCAGUUUAAUGUGACUUCAGCCUGCCACAUAAAUUAAAUGGUUCCUGCCGACAGGGCCUGUAUAGAUAUCGGGCUCCCUGUGCGAUGGCUCCAUACAUU